UUUUAUAGUUUGCUUGAAUAUUCUUCUUAAAUAAUGUAAUUUAGCGAUGUUAUACAUAUCCAUCACUAAUCGGGCAUUCAAUUUCGACGGUCUGUGUAUUUUUGUUCACUGAGAUCUAGAUGCGUUUACCAUAAGAAAUUAACACUCUCCCUCAAUGUGAGAAAAGUGACUCCUUUCAAGACUCACGGGGGAACCGAGUCUAACUUCCAUCAAUCAAACAAUCUAUACUUAAUGAAACUUAUAAGUACUAAGAUUUAAACUUGCAGAUAAGCUCGAGUUUUCAAAAUAUAUGCCAAAUCAGUUAUUGGCUUCUUGUUAAGAUUGAAUUUUUACAAAAUGCAUUUACUGAUAUAAAAUGAUGAUACUAUGAUAAGUGUUUAUACAAGAAUCGUUGUAAUUAUUCUAUACAAGUAUAUAUAUACAUAAUUAUUCUGACCACUAUAUAUACAUGUACAUAGAAAAGGUUGUCGGAAUGAUCGAUUUCGUUUAGUGUAUUAAUACCAUUCACAAAACUAAAAAACAAAGAAACACUCUUCUUAAAUGCAUAAAAUACAAUUACACACCAAUUUUAUUCACCAAGGUUAUUCAUCUGGUCCUCUCCAUGUAUAUGAGAAUUAGAUUUAUCACUGGAUUCGGGUUGGUCAAACACAUUCGACGUUCCCAUAUUUAUAGUUUACUGUACAUUACGGGAACAAAAUGCCUCCUCAGAUGAAAAAACGGCAUAUUAUAUUUGAAAGCCAGAACUAGACCCAGGAGGUCAUAAGUGGCUCAAAACGCUUUGGUUCAGCUAGCUAGUUGAUCAGCUAGACCUUGUCAGAAAUCAAAAUAAUAAAAAAAACUUUGCUAUCAGUAAUAGUGUACAGAAUACCGUUAGGGGCAUCGUGGUUGAACGUUAUAAUCCAGAGGGCGACAAUGUGAUAGUGCGACAACGCGAUGGCGAUAGUACGAUGAUGACAACGCGACAAUGCAAUGGCGACAAUGCGAUGACGACAAUGCGACAGUGCGAUAAUGCGAUGGCGACAAUGCGAUAGUACGAUGACAAUAAUGUGAUAGUCUAUAGCAUUGUCGUCCUCGUGUUAUCGCGUUGUCGUCAUCGUACUAUCACAUUGUCGCCCUCUGGAAUAUAACGUACAACCACGAUGGCCCUAACGGUAUUCCGUAAUACUGUGCUUUUCGCUUCAUAGAUUCAUUGAAUUUAAGCUUACUUGAAAGAAGAAUUAACUUUGAUAAAGUUAGUCCUUCUAAACUAAAGUGAUUCAGUUUUUAAUUGUGCUUAGGCCAAAUAAAAAAAUAUGUUGGUUUGUAGUGCCCGCUACCUUCCCAUCUUCAAUUCUUUUAGGUCAUCGACUUGAUUUUGUUUUAUUUACCGAUAUGUAUCCUGUUCUCCCAUAAUUACCUCCCCUUAAUAAGAAUAUGCCAUUUGUAAUAAAGAUUAGUAACGGAAUAUAUUUGCUAUGUUUUAUUAAAACAACUAAACCAUGUGUAAUCUGAUUAUCUCAUGACAGUAUACUUUGUGUCGUUAAUGGACAUACAUAGGAAACAACGUAUAAAGGAAGUCAUAGACAACAUUAAAAAUAGAAAGGCAAAGAAGAAAAAACAGCCCCCAACUACUAGUUCGCUGCUCCAAGAA